UGUUGCAAACUACUAAAACCGAGGCACAAGAGUAGAAUAUCUUCAUAAGGAGCUGCAGUUGUUGCUGCCAUGGUUUCUCUAUAAACAUUGUAAAGGCCCUUUCUGAGUACACUGUACAUUAAAUUGUGGCGUGCGACGACUGAACAUCUUGGUUCCACGCCGGAUUUAUGAAGAUGGCAUCGGCUGUUAUCCUGCUUUCAUCCCAUCAGAUGUGUCAAGGAUCUGGUGUGGCUGAAGGAUACCUAACUUUGCCAUUCAACAUCAGUGUUUUCACCUUUCCCAAUCUCCGUUGGAUCAGUCAGGACUCAUCACCUGAUACGUCCCAUAUCACCAUUGGUCAGGAAGACUCGUGUGUUGGGUGGACAGGUAUGGAGCAAGGACACGGAUCUGUGUGAGCUGCGUCACACCAUCGACUGCCUGAAGAAAGGACAUCACGUCCGCGGCGCCGACGUCGCCACCGACAAGACAGUGGCGCGCUCUGUGAGCAGAGAGCCAUGUCGCCUGGAGCCAUCCAUUGGACGAGGAAACCUGAGGAGAGAGGUUGGCGAGGAUGCGGAGCAGCUCCAGGCGAUGGCUCCAGGCGAUGACUCCUUACCCGACCUGCAUGCAACGACGUCAUUAAUCGCUUAUCGAUAGUACAAACAG